UACGGAGGGUGCAAGCGUUAAUCGGCAUUACUGGGCGUAAAGCGUGCGUAGGCGGUUUGUUAAGUCUGCUGUGAAAGCCCCGGGCUCAACCUGGGAACAGCAGUGGAUACUGGCAAGCUAGAGUGUGUCAGAGGAUGGUGGAAUUCCCGGUGUAGCGGUGAAAUGCGUAGAGAUCGGGAGGAACAUCAGUGGCGAAGGCGGCCAUCUGGGACAACACUGACGCUGAGGUACGAAAGCGUGGGGAGCAAACAGG
rnacentral:rRNA from 1 species